GAUGAACGCUGGCGGCGUGCCUAAUACAUGCAAGUCGAGCGAACGGACGAGAAGCUUGCUUCUCUGAUGUUAGCGGCGGACGGGUGAGUAACACGUGGAUAACCUACCUAUAAGACUGGGAUAACUUCGGGAAACCGGAGCUAAUACCGGAUAAUAUUAUGAACCGCAUGGUUCAAAAGUGUAAGACGGUCUUGCUGUCACUUAUAGAUGGAUCCGCGCUGCAUUAGCUAGUUGGUAAGGUAACGGCUUACCAAGGCAACGAUGCAUAGCCGACCUGAGAGGGUGAUCGGCCACACUGGAACUGAGACACGGUCCAGACUCCUACGGGAGGCAGCAGUAGGGAAUCUUCCGCAAUGGGCGAAAGCCUGACGGAGCAACGCCGCGUGAGUGAUGAAGGUCUUCGGAUCGUAAAACUCUGUUAUUAGGGAAGAACAUAUGUGUAAGUAACUGUGCACAUCUUGACGGUACCUAAUCAGAAAGCCACGGCUAACUACGUG
rnacentral:rRNA from 1 species